AGUGCGAAAGAGUCCCAGAAGACUUUAUUCCCCCGUUGACCAACAACUUGUGCCACAUACAAAACCAAAGGGGCUUUAUAUCGGUUUCUUAUCCAUAUGAGGUUACAUUGAUACCUAGAGCGAGAUUAUCUUUGGGUUCUCUUGAAAACUUCGACUUUUGAAUCAAAUUUUAAAGCUUGAUCCAUCCGCAAUCAUACAAAUAAAGGUACAUCCAAU
rnacentral:lncRNA from 1 species